UUACGGCCAUAUUACGUUGUAAAAUCGGUUCUCGUCAGGUCACCGAAGUUAAGCAACGACGAGCCUAGUCAGUACCUAGAUGUGUGACUGCUUGGAACUAUCAGGUGCUGUAAG